CUAUUUGACUAUUACUAUAAGUAACAUAAAAGCAUGCUGUUGUGUUAAUAUUAUGCAGAUGACAAGAAUAAGUUUGAAUAAAUUGCUAAAGUUUCAUCUAGUCAUUUAAUUUUUCAUGUUUGACUAUUACUAUAAGUAAUGUAAAAGCAUGCUGUUGUGUUCAAAUUAUGCAGAUGACAAGAAUAAACUUGGAUAAAUUGCUAAAGUUUCAUCUAGUCAUUUGAUUUAAUACAUUUUACUACCAAUAUAAGCUAAUAUUUAUUUUUUCUAGCCACUUAAAUUUUGACACUUCUGAUUUAUUCAUUUUCAAUUCCUGUUUGCCUUAUAGAUUGUUUCUAAUUUUAUUUAUUUGAAGUGUCUGAUAUGCUUUAUCAAAAACUUAUGCCAUCAAAAAUGAUUUAUUCAAAAUAUAUGUAUCAAAAGUUGCACAAAAAAGCUAUGUUGAGAAAAUGUUUGUGUUUCAGUGUAUUUUUAUUUCAUUUUAACUUUAUUUUAUCUUAGCAGUUGCUUGGACUGCCAUACUUUAAUUUAUUGUUUACUUUGAAAAACCAAGAAAUCUCCAUUUACCUAAAGAGGUCUUGACCAAACCUAUUAAUUAAUAGGUUUCUAUUGUCAUAACUUUUACGCUUAUGCUUUACUUUUUACUUCUUUAUUAUAUAUUACAUAAAUUAAAUGUCUUUAUUUUAGAACCAUUCUACUAUCUUUAUAUUAAGACAGGAUUUUUCAAAUUGAAAUGUUUAUUUCAAUUAAUUUGGUACAGAAAGACGAAACAUUCUUUUACAGUUUAAUUAACAUUAAAUAACUACAUAUGUAAUAUUGUAGUUUUUUUGUACAAAAUUAACUUUUUUCAGUUAGUAUCAAAUCACUCGCACACAAAACACUACCCAAGUUUCAUGUUUGGAAUAAUAUGUGCAUUCAGUAACACACUCAAAACACUAUUCCAAUAUCAUCAGGUUUGGAAUGAUAUGUACACACUCAAAACACUAUUCCAGUAUCAUCAUGUUUGGAAUGAUAUGUACACACUCAAAACACUAUUCCAAUAUCAUCAGGUAAUGAAUGAUAUGUACACACUCAAAACACUAUUCCAGUAUCAUCAUGUUUAGAAUGAUAUGUACACACUCAAAACACUAUUCCAAUAUCAUCAGGUUUAGAAUGAUAUGUACACACUCAAAACACUAUUCCAAUAUCAUCAGUUUAUGAAUGAUAUGUCCACACUCAAAACACUAUUCCAAUAUCAUCAGGUUAUGAAUGAUAUGUCCACACUCAAAACACUAUUCCAGUAUCAUCAGGUUUGGAAUGAUAUGUACACACUCAAAACACUAUUCCAAUAUCAUCAGGUUUGGAAUGAUAUGUACACACUCAAAACACUAUUCCAAUAUCAUCAGGUUUGGGAUGAUAUGUACACACUCAAAACACUAUUCCAAUAUCAUCAGGUUAUGAAUGAUAUGUACACACUCAAAACACUAUUCCAAUAUCAUCAGGUUAUGAAUGAUAUGUACAUACUCUAAACACUAUUCCAAUAUCAUCAGGUUUGGAAUGAUAUGUACACAUUCAAAACACUAUUCCAGUAUCAUCAGGUUUGGAAUGAUAUGUACACACUCAAAACACUAUUUCAGUAUCAUCAGGUUUGGAAUGAUAUGUACAUACUGUGACACACUCAAGACAUUAUUCUAGUGUUACCUGGUUUGGAAAAAUAUACACACUCAAGACACUAUUUCAAUGUCAUCAGGUUUGGAAUAAUAUGUAAACACUCAAGACACUAUUACAGUGUCAUCAGGUUUGGAAUAAUACAUACACACUCAAGACACUUUCAUUGUCACCAGGUUUACAAUAAUAUGUACUCUCUCAAGACACUAUUACAGUGUCAUCACAUUUGAAAUAUGUACACACUUAAGACAAUAUUCCAAUAUCAUCAGGAUAGUAGAAACAUCACAAAGCUAUUGUGAUAUGAGUAAUGUAUACACCCCUUACAUAAAUACAUCAUUCCAAUGUGAUACGGUACUGUAUGUAACUACAUGUAUAGAAAUAUUGUUAGUUUAUCACAUUUUCAGAGUUGUUUUUAACAAGCUGCAGUUAAUAUGAAUACUUUAAGUGAUAUGUAACAACUCGUGGUAUGUUUAAUGAUUAAUGAACUUAAUUUCAGAUGUGUUAAAAGAAAUUAAGUUAACCAACUUAGUUUGUUUUUCAACUGAUCUUAUGUCUCUCUAUUGAUGGAUAAUUAAGCAUAAGCAUGUUGUUCGGGAUUGUUAUUUAUCCUCAUUUAUUAUUAAAAUGUUGUGUAUUUACUUCUUUAUUAAGCUUUCUGUAACAUCUAGACUAUUUUGAAAAUUAUAUCCACCAGGUUCGCUUAGAAACACUAAAAAUGAAUACAUCCUCAGUUUCAACUUUACAACUGAAGUUCUAAUCGGAUAAUGUGUUUUAAGAUUUGUGUUAUAAUAAAGCAUCAAUAAAACAUUUGA
rnacentral:lncRNA from 1 species